rnacentral:rRNA from 1 species
CCGCAACGAGCGCACCUCCGAUGAUUGGUUGCAAGCGAGAAAUGUCGGGGGCUCUAGUCGGACGGCCUGUAUUAAACAGGAGGAAGGUGGGGAUGACGUCAAGUCAGUAUGGCCCUUACGCCUAGGGCUGCACACGUACUACAAUGCUCAGUACAAUGUGAACCGAUACCGCAAGGUGGAGGAAAUCUCAAAAACUGAGCUCAGUUCGGAUUGUGGGCUGCAACUCGCCCACAUGAAGCUGGAAUCGCUAGUAAUGGCACAUCAGCUACGGUGCCGUGAAUACGUUCCCGGGUCUUGUACACACCGCCCGUCACAUCAUGGAAGCCGGCCGCACUCGAAGUGUCCAAUCCAACCGCAAGGAGGUAGGGCCCGAAAGUGUAGCUGGUAACUGGGAUGAAGUCGUAACAAGGUAGCCGUAGGGGAACCUGCGGCUGGAUCACCUCCUUUCUAAGGAGCA